rnacentral:SRP_RNA from 1 species
GCCGGGCGAGGUGGCGGGCGCCUGUAGUCCCAACUACUCCGGAGGCUGAGGCAGGAGAAUGGUGUGAAUGGUGUGAACCCGGGAGGCGGAGCUUGCAGUGAGCUGAGAUCCGGCCACUGCACUCCAGCCUGGGCGGCAGAGCGAGACUCUGUCUCAAAAAAAAAAAUAAAUAAAUAAAAAUAAAAAAAAGAAGGGGAAAAAAAAAAGGUGCUUUUUUUUUUUUUGAGACGGAGUCUCGCUCUGUCGCCCAGGCUGGAGUGCAGUGGCCAGAUCUCAGCUCACUGCAAGCUCCGCCUCCCGGGUUCACACCAUUCACACCAUUCUCCU